UGGGUUUUGAGUGAAAUCCAAUUUCUAAAACUAUGCAAAACACCAACCACUCCAUUUCAGAAUUAACUUCGUACGAACCUGAAUUGUCCAAUUUGAUGGACCAAUCGAUAUAGGAUUGAGUCCAGAACUUGGGGAACAAGAUAAUGUGGUGGGAGGAGUCAUUUGGUAGGUUAUGAGUGAAAUUCAAUAGCAAGAACCAUGUAAUACACCAACCACUCCAUUUCAGAACGAAGUCUGUGCGA
rnacentral:lncRNA from 1 species